GAUAACGAUUAAGUAACGAUGAUACGAAUCACUCGCUUGAUAUUUGACUCUUAGCUUUGUGACGACGUAAAGACGACGGUCGUGCGACAAUCAUUAUGGUUUAACACCAACAGAAAUUCAUCCGAAAUUGUUAAAAGUGUAUAAGGAUGCAUCACCUUCACUUUCCACUGUGAAAAAAUGGGCUGCUCUUUUUAAAUCUGUACAAGCCUCGAAGAUGAUCCACGCAAAGGUUGUCGGCAAAAACUGCUACAACACCACAAAACAUUCAAUAAGUCCAUGAUAUGGUGUUAGAUGAUCGGCGAGUGAAAAUGCGUGAAAUAGCUGAGGCCAUAGGCAUCUC